UAUGUCAACAUUGAAUAAAGAAAAUCAAUAAGUCUGUCAGAAACUAAAAAAUUUUGUGUCAAAAAAAAAGCAAAAUAACAGAGUAAUAUGAUUUAAUUUCCAUCGUAACAUUUAAUAUCAUGGAGUAACCUUUUAUGGCACCAAUGUCUCAUCCGCCCUGUACGCCGUCGGCGUCAUGUACCCCCAUCCGAUGUCACCCUACUCCACCCCCAUGUCAAAAUCCGGAAAAAUGCCUCAAGAAAACCACUUCGAAAGGCAUAAAGCCAUGCCGGAGCGCGGUAUCCAUAAUGUCAACUCGCUCCAAAGCUAAAUGCGGCAGUUGUGGAAAAUUAAAAUCUUCCGACCCGCGAAGCGUAAAGGAAGUAGAGAAGUUCCUCAGUAGGAAGUCAAAAGAAGCAAAAAUGAGAAAAAAUGAUCGCCUAACGGGGAGCAAGUCCUACCUUAACUACACCAAAAAGAAAGGGUCUCCGAGAUCAGAUGCGGAUUGCUGUCUUGGAAAGGGUCAUCGAGGGAGAGUGUCGAGACCCCGGAAAUGUUGUACAAUAUUGUAACUUCUGGUUUAUCAAACAAAUUUGUAGAUCUCAUAAAGAUUUAAUUAAAUACUUAAAUAUUUGAUUUUUAAGCUAUGUAACUGUUUAAAUAAACGAUUCAUGAACUAA